rnacentral:lncRNA from 1 species
GGAAGUUGGUUGAUCUUGGUGGUUCGGCUUCUCCCACGGCUGAGGAAAUAUCUCCUAUUCCAACCACUGUUGCACCUGCUGAUGCUACACCACCUUGAUGAGAAUUAGUUAAUGUACUUACUAUUUUGUGAUGAACGUUGUUUAUGGUCGCUUUGACCGCACUUUGUAUCUUUUAUGUUUGGUGUUAGUACUUUCCGUUUGCUAGUAGAAUAACUA